GACGAACGCUGGCGGCGUGCUUAACACAUGCAAGUCGAACGGUAAGGCCCUUCGGGGUACACGAGUGGCGAACGGGUGAGUAACACGUGGGUGAUCUGCCCUGCACUUCGGGAUAAGCCUGGGAAACUGGGUCUAAUACCGGAUAGGACCACUGCCUGCAUGGGUGGUGGUGGAAAGCUUUUGCGGUGUGGGAUGGGCCCGCGGCCUAUCAGCUUGUUGGUGGGGUGAUGGCCUACCAAGGCGACGACGGGUAGCAGGCCUGAGAGGGUGACCGGCCACACUGGGACUGAGAUACGGCGCAGACUCCUACGGGAGGCAGCAGUGGGGAAUAUUGCACAAUGGGCGCAAGCCUGAUGCAGCGACGCCGCGUGAGGGAUGACGGCCUUCGGGUUGUAAACCUCUUUCAGCACCGACGAAGCGCAAGUGACGGUAGGUGCAGAAGAAGGACCGGCCAACUACGUGCCAGCCGCCGCAGUAACAC
rnacentral:rRNA from 1 species